CAAUGUACAAGUAAGACACAGUCUUCAACUAGUGGCAAUGUACAAGUAAGACACAGUCUUCAACAAGUGGCAAUGUACAAGUAAGACACAGUCUUCAACAAGUGGAAAUGUACAAGUAAGACACAGUCUUCAAAAAGUGGCAAUGUACAAGUAAGACACAGUCUUCAAAAAGUGGCAAUGUACAAGUAAGACACAGUCUUCAACAAGUGGCAAUGUACAAGUAAGACACAGUUUUUAACUAGUGGCAAUGAACAAGUAAGACACAGUCUUCA
rnacentral:lncRNA from 1 species